rnacentral:lncRNA from 10 species
GGGGGUUUCUGGUUUGACUUUACAAGAAAACACUGAACAAAAUCCUCAAAGACUCACAACAGGUGUUCUAUUUUCACCUCAUGGUGAAAUAGUACAUUGUGUAGUAAUGAAAAGAGAGUGAGAAAGGUAUGGACUAACAACACUCUAUGUGGCCUAAAAACCAACCAAAUCAAGUUUCUAUCAAGGCAGAAGAGGCAGGACAGCCAAGGAAUUGAGCAUAAAGGACACUCUACUGUGAGAGCUAGCCUUGAUUUGACAUGUGUCAGGAAACAUACGACCUCAAACAAUCUUCAUACACAAUGAAGAGAUAUAAGAAGAUUUGGUAAUCCAGGAAGUCUCGAAAGUUCUUCAGAAAUGUUUAACCUAUUUCAAAAAUUUUCAUUACUCUGCGCACACUAUUCCUCAUUACAGAAAGUGCUCAAUAAACUUCUGUAUGCUCCUAUUACUA